GGAAGGGACACCUUCCACUAGACCAGGUUGCUCCAAGCCCCCUCCAGCCUGGCCUUGAACACUUCUGGGGAUGGGGCUAAUUUGGUUCCUGCUGGUUUAUCUGGAAUAAGGUCGGACAAGAGGCCUUCACACAUGUAACAAAGGCUGAUCCCAGGUGACCUGAGUGCUGGAACCUGUCAACAUCUUAUGACAAAUAUAACCAGUCUCAUAACCAUGAAAUACUCCUGCUCCACCACCUCCAGAUUUGAAGCCUUAAGAUGUACCCAGAGCUUCUUCCAGGCUUUCUGUAUCAGAGUCAGCUGAAACAUGGCAAAGAUUUUGUACGAGUUGUUUAAUAAACCAGACAGGUCAGAGCUGCUCCCCUGAAGUCCUCAGACAUGGCUGCUGGUGUGUUCAUGGCCACUGUGCAGAGCAUCUACUGAGGACUGAGAGCAAAUACAACACAGCAUGAGAUUUUGGGCAAGACAGAUGGUUCAGGCAUGAUUUCCUGCAAAUCUUACUUACCUUUGGCACAGCCAGGUUUGUCAGAUAAUGGCAGUGACCAUUAGUUGAAUCUUCAAUUUAGUGCUUUGACCAGCAGGUACUUUCCGACUGAGAUUAUUUGCAUGGAAUAACACAAAGCUCCAUCAGCAGAGCGGCUCUCCUGGAAAAUAAUGACAUCUUCAGCUGUGCGGGAGCCAGGACAAAGCCCACUCCCGGCUUGUAAUCCACUGGAAGCCACUCAGUAGCACUUGAGCAAGGUCUAAGGGGGCAGGGCUGUGUGCCAGGCCUCUCCCUUGCAGCCAAGGUGUUAUGCAUUAUUUAACAAAAGGUGUCAGGCUGGCUUUUUGCACUGGCUGAAAGCGAAAUCACAGCCAUUUGAAGCAGGCUCUUUAGAAACUAAAAUUAUCUUCACAUCAUAUUUCUUCUCCAGUAAUGCCAGCAUUACAUUUUUUCAAAUUCUGA